rnacentral:rRNA from 1 species
AUGCCUAACACAUGCAAGUCGAACGGACGAGGGUAGCAAUACCCGAGUUAGUGGCGAACGGGUGAGUAACACGUGAGCAACCUGCCCUUUACACUGGGAUAGCAGUUGGAAACGACUGAUAAUACCGGAUAAGACCACAUUCCCGCAUGGGAGAGGGGUCAAAGUGCUUUAGCGGUAAAGGAUGGGCUCGCGUCCAAUUAGCUAGUUGGUGAGGUAACGGCCCACCAAGGCGACGAUUGGUAGCCGACCUGAGAGAGUGAUCGGCCACACUGGAACUGAGACACGGUCCAGACUCCUACGGGAGGCAGCAGUGGGGAAUAUUGGGCAAUGGAGGAAACUCUUACCCAAGCAAUGCCGCGUGAGGGAUGGAGGUCCUAUGGAUUGUAAACCUCUUUGAUUAGGGACAAAGAAAGUGAUGGUACCUAAAGAACAAGCCCCGGCUAACUAUGUGCCAGCCGCGGC